GCAAAGACAAGCCCUAGUUUUGCAGAGUGAGAGAGAUUACCACCUCCGAUACCCGCAAUGGCUCUCUCCGUCGAGAAAAGUAGCAGCGGCCGCGAGUACAAGGUCAAGGACAUGUCCCAGGCCGACUUCGGCCGCCUCGAGAUCGAGCUCGCCGAGGUCGAAAUGCCCGGCCUCGUCUCCUGCCGCACCGAAUUCGGACCCUCCCAACCCUUCAAGGGGGCCCGCAUCACCGGAUCCCUCCACAUGACCAUCCAGACC
rnacentral:lncRNA from 1 species